CUUUGACCAGAUAUUAUUACAUCCAAAGAUCAAGUGUACCUAGAACAUAGAUACAGAGCCACUUGUUAUCAGGAAGCUGCUCUCUCAGCACAACGGAAAAUAUCUCAAUGACUUGACAUGUUCUGGUUGUGAAUUCAGGCUACAAGGGGUCGGUUCUCUAAAAUGAGUCUCUCUGGGGAGAGAGAGGAGGGGGGUCCUGCCUCUAAAAUGAGUCUCUCUGGGGAGAGAGAGGAGGGGGAGCCUGUCUCUAAAAUGAGUCUCUCUGGGGAACAUGACACAAAAUCUAAGAGACCAAUAAAGCAGGAGAGACCAGCCUCCCCUGUUCCCAGCUGUGUGUCCAUGAAGAGUGACCGGUCUAUGAAGCUACCUAUACAGUUUAGAGAGGGAGACUUUUCUACUGAACAAAG